AUGGAGGGGACAGAAGGCGAAGGAGGUGGAGGAUACCGGCUUCAAGCUGUGGUACACGAGGACGGUUGCAAACAAAAAUGGCGUAGGCAUCUUGAUCAACAAGAGCCUCAAGUAUGGAGUGGUAGACGUGGGGACCGGAUUAUCCUGGUCAAGCUGGUAGUUGGGGACUUAGUUCUCAAUGUUAUCAGCGCGUAUGCCCCGCAAGUAGGCCACAAUGAGAACACCAAGAGGGAGUACUGGGAGGCCUGGAGGACAUGGUUAGAAGUGUACGAUUGGCGAGAAGCUCUUCAUAGGAGGAGACCUCAAUGGCCACGUGGGUACAUCUAA
rnacentral:rRNA from 1 species